ACCUGGCCGGCUCAGUCUGUGGAGCAUGUGACUCUUGAUCUCAGGGAUGUGGGUUCAAGUCCUACAUUGGGUG
rnacentral:tRNA from 1 species